rnacentral:rRNA from 1 species
CAUCCCGAACACGACCGUUAAGCCCUCCAGCGCCGAUGGUACUUGGACCGAAGGGUCCUGGGAGAGUAGGAAGCUGCCAAGC